GACGAACGCUGGCGGCGUACUUAACCCAUGCAAGUCGAACGGAAAGGCCCCUUUCGGGGGGUACUCGAGUGGCGAACGGGUGAGUAACACGUGAGUAACCUGCCCUUGACUUUGGGAUAACUUCAGGAAACUGGGGCUAAUACUGGAUAGGAGCAUCCGCUGCAUGGUGGGGGUUGGAAAGUUUCGGCGGUUGGGGAUGGGCUCGCGGCCUAUCAGCUUGUUGGUGGGGUAGUGGCUUACCAAGGCGUUGACGGGUAGCCGGCCUGAGAGGGUGACCGGCCACAUUGGGACUGAGAUGCGGCCCAGACUCCUACGGGGGGCCGCAGUGGGGAAUAUUGCACAAUGGGUGGACGCCUGAUGCAGCCACGCCGUGUGCGGGAUGACGGCCUUCGGGUUGUACACCGCUUUCGCUCAUGACGAAGCUUUGUGUGACGGUAGUGGGUAAAGAAGCACCGGCUAACUACGUG
rnacentral:rRNA from 1 species